ACGCAGGCUCAGUCUGGUGGUUACUUCGUUUACCAGAAUUAAACAAUUGACCUACCUUCAAUCGGGCUAACACCCAGGACCACGGACGCCGUCCUGCACUUUU
rfam:Crassostrea gigas strain 05x7-T-G4-1.051#20 contig19618, whole genome shotgun sequence.